GUAUAAAGUCUCAAGUCACAGUCACUCCUUCCUCUUUCGAACCGCUUUCUCAAAGAAUGAGUUGAGGUGGCCGUUAAGUUCCGUUUCGGUUCACCACGAGGUUCUGCCGUAAUCACUGCUGAGGUUAGGUGGUGCAAAAGACUCUUCAAGGAUGGAUGAAGUAUCCUGCCAUCACAAUGCUCCUUGAGAUGGGCUAAGUGAGCUUCUGUGAAAGAAGGUGCGGUGCUGCCACUGAGAAGAUGCCCUUUAUGGCUCCAUGUGCUGGUGCUGAUUACCUGUGGUAACGGUGACGCAAGUGCAGGUGCUCAGCUUUUGAGUAGUCGGAGGAAGCUCGAGGGGUGCAGGUCCAACCUAACCUUGAGUGCGGGUGCAGGUGGACGUUCCAAGUUUUUACAUGGGUGGUGCAAGUCCAACCUAAUCUGGAUGUAUAUUGUAUUUGGCUUCUACACUUGUGACUUGAACUAUUAAAAAAUAAACUUAAAGCACUUAGUGCUAUAUUGGACAA